AAUUUGUACCAAGGGGGAAAACCCUGACCCACCCAUCCCGCGUGUAUGAUGAAGCCCUCGGGUUUCAAAGGUAUUUUUGGCGGAGAAAAAAAGGUAUCUCCUAAUACAAGAUACUGCUGACGUAAUCGGCAGAAUAGCCCCGGCCUAACUAGGUCCCGUCAGCCGCGGUAAAACGUAGGGUUGAAACGUUAAUCGGAAUUACUGGGCGUAAAGCGUGUGUAGGCGGUUCGGAAAGGAAGAUGGGAAAUCCCAGGGCUCAACCUUGGAACUGCAUUUUUAACUGCCGAGCUAGAGUAUGACAGAGGGGGGUAGAAUUCCACGUGUAGCAGUGAAAUGCGUAGAUAUGUGGAGGAAUACCGAUGGCGAAGGCAGCCCCCUGGGAUAAUACUGACGCUCAGACACGAAAGCGUGGGGAGCAAACAG
rnacentral:rRNA from 1 species